GCUGCGGUGGCCGAGUGGUCAAGGCGGUAGAUUUAAGUUUUCACAACCUAAACCUCUACUGGGGAAACCCGCGCGCGUUCGAACCGCGUCCGCAGCA